rnacentral:rRNA from 1 species
UACGGAGGGUGCAAGCGUUAAUCGGAAUUACUGGGCGUAAAGCGCACGUAGGCGGAUUGUUAAGUCGGGGGUGAAAUCCUGGAGCUCAACUCCAGAACUGCCUUCGAUACUGGCGAUCUCGAGUUCGGGAGAGGUGAGUGGAACUGCGAGUGUAGAGGUGAAAUUCGUAGAUAUUCGCAAGAACACCAGUGGCGAAGGCGGCUCACUGGCCCGAUACUGACGCUGAGGUGCGAAAGCGUGGGGAGCAAACAGG